AUGCAGUUCACUUGUGUUUAUUUUUGCAGAAAAGCAAUUUAUCCAGCCACUCUGGAAAAAAAAAAUGGCCUGUCAGGAGCCUCCUUUGGAGCAGAGUGUUUUUCCUCAAAAGAAACUCAAAUUGUUCUCAAUGUAGGGCAGGCUUUGGGUGUGUCUCCUCGAACAUGUACAGGGGUCUGUCCUGUGUGCGGGAGAGCGUUGGGGUGUCUGGCGUGGGCCCUGGCUUUGUCUCUAGAAUGUGGAUGGUGCAUCUUUGGGCCUCUGUCCUUCCCUGCCUGCGUGGGUUUGAGAUACUCUUACAAAAGGUGCCCACACACGCUGGGGUAUACAGCCCUCCUCUGGCAGCUCGGCCUGUGCUUUCCAGGGCUCUAGCUGUCUUCUGGGCCCACCAGGGAACCCAAGCUUCCGACUCUCCUGGGUGCGGCUGCACUCAAACUGCUGGAGCUCCGGCAAGAUGCAUCAUUUGGCUGGUUGCAGUCCUCUUCAGAGCACUCUGAGCUGUGCAUCCUCCUGGCACUUUUGAGGAGCACCUUCCUGCCUGUGAUGGUUCCAUCCCAAGACAGAAUCAGAGCAACGUUGGGCCCCUCCAUGAUGGAGCCUGAGCAAAAGGGAAAAUCAGUAAUGCUGAUCCUGUCUCUAUUUAAAAAUUUGGUAUUUCAUUCAUCCCUCAUUGAUAUCUUGCAUCACUUUUGAUUUUUAAAAAUGUUGCAUUAAAGUCUGAUUUGUCCUGCCUGCUGAGUGUUUUGAUGACCCUUACGUUUUUACACUUGAGGUGAAUGCCAAGAGAAGGGAGCCCUUGGUCUGGGCCGGGGAAUGUCCUGGGGCUGGAGGUGGACCAGAGCUUCCCCCCUUCCAGGAGUGGCUUGUGGGGUCUGCGGGUGUGGGUGUGUGAGGAGGCAGGCUCAGAGCUUCUGCUACUGUUUCCCUGGGGCUGAGGGGCAGGCCCGGAGGAGGGGGCCCAGCCUGUGGGUUAGCCCAGCGAGCGAGGAGCAAGUGAGCAAGCAGGAGAGUGAGUCUUUGAAGGUGGAAAGAGAAGCAGGGAGCAGAGUUGGCAUGGAGGGAGAAAAAUGUAGUCUGUGACACCAAUUUUCUAUGGAUGGGACUGGAAAAUGAGAAAACUGGAGGCUUUAAAGGCAGCAGGUGACAGAGCCACAGGUGAUGCUAAAUCUCUCCAAUCCCCCAAAGUUCAGUGACAUUGUUCCAUACAUAUUGGCCUUGUGCGAGCACUCCUUUGGUGAGGGAGCAGAGGAAAGGGUGGAUUCCGGGCUCUGAGCCUGUCCAUGUGGAAGUGGGGCCCAGAAUGUGCGCAGCAACUCUUUCUGCCCACUGACCUGUUCAGUGGAAGCAGUGCCCAAAGACAAAGACAUGUAGG
rnacentral:lncRNA from 12 species